rnacentral:rRNA from 1 species
UACAGAGGUCCCAAGCGUUGUUCGGAAUCAUUGGGCGUAAAGCGCGUGUAGGCGGCCCGAUAAGUCCGCUGUGAAAGUCCAGGGCUCAACCCUGGGAUGCCGGUGGAUACUGUCGGGCUCGAGUCCGGAAGAGGCGAGUGGAAUUCCUGGUGUAGCGGUGAAAUGCGCAGAUAUCAGGAGGAACACCAAUGGCGAAGGCAGCUCGCUGGGACGUGACUGACGCUGAGACGCGAAAGCGUGGGGAGCAAACAGG